GACGGAGGGUGCUAGCGUUGUUCGGAAUCACUGGGCGUAAAGGGCGCGUAGGCGGCUUUGGCAGUCGGCUUGUGAAAGCCCGGGGCUCAACCCCGGAGGUGCGGCCGAUACACCAAGGCUGGAGGCCGGAAGAGGAGGGUGGAAUACCCAGUGUAGAGGUGAAAUUCGUAGAUAUUGGGUGGAACACCGGUGGCGAAAGCGGCUCUCUGGUCCGGUCCUGACGCUGAGGCGCGAAAGCGUGGGGAGCAAACAG
rnacentral:rRNA from 1 species